CUCCCACCCCAGAUACUUUUUUUUGGGCCCCGCUGUCCUCAUCCAAUGGCCCCGCGAGAGAAUCUUUCACGUCGGCUGUAACAAGUGGAGUUUAAAACUACAAAUCACAUUUCCGUCCAAUUCUAUGCAUUAAAAAAAUGAAGACAAUCAAAAGAAAAUGUUACACUGCCACACUCUGACUUCUUUUUUUUAAAUGUCAUUUUCACUAAGAUGAGUUACACAAACACGUAAGACAAUCACGCAAUAUUAUAUCGUUCCAACAAUAAAUGAACGCAAUGGAUGUGCCUCUGUAAAAGAAGAGAAAGAGUUAAAAAAGAAAUCGAGAGACGCCUUCCUAUCACAUUCCCGCGACGUGUCGCAUGAAGGCAGAAAAAAAAAAGAAGAGGAUUUAGAGACUUAUUCCUUAAAAAAAGCGUCCUUUCAUCCGCAGAGCAGUUAGUGUGUCACUAUUGAGCAGGCCUGUGCCCACAUGCGCACACAAACAAGAGCUCAGUGAAGAAGAGGAGGAGGAGGAUGAAGAUGUUCACAUGGCAAGCCGAGCUGCAAGGUAAAACAAUUCGGUCUCAUCGGCAAUCAUUUGCAGUUGCAAACGUGGUAUUUUGUGCUUUUAAAGUAUGCGCCAUUUUUGCUUGAAGAAUUGCAAAAACACUGGCGCUCGACGUGUGGUUUUCGUUGCUUUAUGGUCCUAUGUGGAACACACACACACACACACACACACACACACACACACACACACACACACACACACACACACACACACAAAUGCGUAAGAUUUUUGAAUAUUGAUUAUUGGAGAGCUUUGAACACACGGUGGAGCCUUUUCAAGGUCUCGGCGUGCAAGCAAGGCCUGCACCAAAGUGUCAUCAGGCGCUCGCUAUCCCCGAAGAUUUCUACGCACGCAGCCGAAGAGCUUUUCUCCCCCCCGCAAAGUUGGAUUUCUUUCAGCCGUCAACGCUCACCUGAGCAGAGGGAUUUAUUUGUUAUUUCUUCUCGGGACGCAGCGGCAGCACAGGAGUUCGCCAACAAACAAACGGAUGCAAUUAAAUUCACUGUCAUCUCUCAUCAUCACGGAGGAGGCAAGAAGGGAGGAAGGGGGGGGGGCACACAAGGCCAAGUCAAGGUUGACUGAAGGAGAAGAGGUCCACUCGCAAAGACAGAAAGUGAACUCUAACUUGACAGUCUUACUCAGUGCAUCAAUUGAGGUGUGUCAGAAUGAACCCAAUCCCAGUACAAGACAACGAGUAAUAUCUCUUUGAUUCACAGUAUGCAGAUAAUUUGCUCCAUGUUUGGACAUUUGGAUGAAAUUGAAAUUUCAUUGUGAUAAAAUGUUGUUCCAAGACACAAACUUUCAUUGAACAUGGCCUAAAUUCCACUCAAAUAUUGCACUUGAUUACUGGUAUUUUGAUUUUAAUGUUUUAUAUUUUAUGUUUGAUCUUUAUGAUAUAGGGCCUACAGAUAUUUGUUACAUUUGGGUUUUUUAUUAAAGUGCUCUGUGAAUAAAUAAAGUGAGUAUAUAAUUAGUCAAUCACUAAUAAGUCAAGUUGCGUUUUUUUCGUAGAACACUCAAAAAUCGAUUUGCCAGGGAAGCAUAUGCUUCAUCUUCAAUGAAUAUGAUGAAUAA